GCCGGCGGGAGGCGCGGGGUCGCCUCGCUGGCUGGCGUGAGGUGGGGCCACUCCGGGUGCCCCCGGAUGUCCCCGGGCUGCCCUGUCGCGCGGCGGACCCGCAGGGCUCUCCGUGCUCCCGGCCUUCCCCGCGGCUGCCUUUCGAGCGAAGCCUGUUCAGCUGAAGAACGGGAAAGGCCCGGGCGUUACGUAAGGGCCUCCCCGCGGGCGAGACCGGGACCUGAAGCGACCGCGGCGACUUCUGUGAUCGCCGGGUCCCCCAGCCCCCACCCCCCCGCGUCCCGCCACAGACCUGUCGAGGACGAAGUGCGGAAAUUUCCACUAAUUUCCUCAGUGGAGCGGCUCGUGUCGUUUUUGUGGUUGCUAAACGAAAAGCUGUUUUCCUGCUCUGCAGAGCUGCUUGAGUUGAUCAGUGAGUAGGAUCACUUAAAUGGAGUCACCGGCCUAAUAUCUGCUGAGGAACCAGUGCAUAGAUUCCUUCUUAGAGGUCUUUAUGCCCCCUUCAGAAACCAAGUCCUCUUCAAAGCCAGGACUGUAAACUUGAGCUUCUCACCAGUCCCGAGGCCGAUGCAGGAGGAUCACAGUGAAUUCAAGGCCAGCCUGGACUACAGAGUGAGACCCUGACUCAAAACAACAGAAAGAAGAGAGAGAGAGAUGAAGAUAGCAGGAAGCACCACAUGGAAGUUAAGAAAGAAAUACAGGGAAUGGAGAAAACCCAAGAGCAGAUGUCUGGAUCUCCCUGUGAAGUCUACACGGGCCUCAAACUUGCAGCGACCCUCCCACCUCAGCCACCUGGGUGCUGGGACCACAAGCAUGCAAUAAAAAUUAAGUAGUAAAGAAAAUGAAACACUCCCAUAGACUGCCCCAAAGGUGCCUCCUCCAGGCACCUGUUCCCUGUGUAAAGUUAGGAAGGCUGUGGUGAAGCACCCCAAGGAUCUAGUUUCAGGUCUGCAGUGAGCGACCUGACCCCUGGUUCCUCUCAGCUGCUGCUAUUGCUGCUGCUGCUCCUCAUCCUCCUGAUUUGUUUGGUUUUUUUUUGAGGCAGGGUCUUGCUGUGUAGUUUAGGACUCCCUUGAACUUAGAGAUCCUGCUGCCUCAGCCUCCUGAUUGCUGGGAGCUCAGGCAUGCACCACUGCAGCGGCUCAGGUAUUUAUUUAGUGACUGUUGACUGGUGUGAAUGGAACCCUCCAGACCGUGUGUUAUCUGUUGGCCGAGGUUCUUGAGCGCCUCCUCCGUCUGUCCUGUGGGCGGUACCAUGCCUUGUUACCAGCACCUGCUCAUGCUGCUGCAGUGAGCUCAGAAACAGCAGUGACAGUGGACCAACCUGCCGCCCUGUGACCAGAAAUGGGCAGCAGGUUUCACAGAAAGGCAAUGACAGGGCACAGGAUAGACCGGCGGUGUCACAGGUGCCACCGUUGGGGCUGUAGCCAUGGACUGGAAAAGAAACUGCAGCGUACCAGUGUGACAGGGACCUUGGCCCAGCACGGCUGUGACUCCCAAGCAGGGACACCAGGCAUUGUGAGGAGUGUCGCCUUCAGACAUGGGGCGACGGAAGCAACCUCGAAGGAUGCGAGUCCUCCCGUCCGCUGUCCACAGUGUGGGGAAGCGAUGUCAGGGAGAAGAGGAAAAGCCCGCACGCUUAUCUUCCCUUCCUUUCCUCCUCUUUAUUCUCCUCUGGUACACAAGGAGGGAAGGUAAGCAAUUUCUUGAUUGCAUCUCCUGUGACCUCCCCAUCGGUGUUCUCAGCUUUCUCUGUGUGAAGACGUGCUGUCCUCCUUCCUGGGUCUCCUGGUCCCUUCAGCAUGGCUGUGAGGUGCGACCCGACACAAAGAGGAAACAGCAUCGCCACUGCUUGUCAGGAUUGGCAAUAAACACUAGCUGUAACAUGGUGCACUUUUCUCCAGGAGCUGCUUGCAGUGAAUGACCUCAUAGUGAUCUGUAAAAUUGUAUAUUUUUGUCUAAUGAAGUAGUCAUUAAAAAUUCAAAGCCUCAAAUUCACAGCAAUCCUCCUGCCUCAGCCUCCUGAGUGCUGGAAUGACCACCACGCCUGGCUUCACUGUUUAUAUUUUAUGAGUCCAUGUCUGCAGUACAUGAUUGCAUUCCUCAUGGGGAGUUGGUCCACGCACGUAAUACAUCUGAAGUCCUUUUUCUUCCCUCUCUUCUCCCCCUCCAUCUCUUCCUAUGUGGGGAGUUGGUAUAUGCGCAGCAUAUCUUUUUGUUUUGUUUUGUUUUUUGUUUUUUUGAGACAGGAUCUUGCUAUUUGUUCUAGUUGGC
ensembl:lncRNA